UACGAGGGGGGCUAGCGUUGCUCGGAAUCACUGGGCGUAAAGCGCACGUAGGCGGGUCCUUAAGUCAGGGGUGAAAUCCUGGAGCUCAACUCCAGAACUGCCUUUGAUACUGAGGAUCUCGAGUUCGGGAGAGGUGAGUGGAACUGCGAGUGUAGAGGUGAAAUUCGUAGAUAUUCGCAAGAACACCAGUGGCGAAGGCGGCUCACUGGCCCGAUACUGACGCUGAGGUGCGAAAGCGUGGGGAGCAAACAGGG
rnacentral:rRNA from 1 species